AGAGUUUGAUCCUGGCUCAGGAUGAACGCUGGCGGCGUGCCUAACACAUGCAAGUCGAGCGAUUUACUUCGGUAAAGAGCGGCGGACGGGUGAGUAACGCGUGGGUAACCUGCCCUGUACACACGGAUAACAUACCGAAAGGUAUGCUAAUACGAGAUAAAAUACUUUUAUCGCAUGGUAGAAGUAUCAAAGCUUUUGCGGUACAGGAUGGACCCGCGUCUGAUUAGCUAGUUGGUAAGGUAACGGCUUACCAAGGCGACGAUCAGUAGCCGACCUGAGAGGGUGAUCGGCCACAUUGGAACUGAGACACGGUCCAAACUCCUACGGGAGGCAGCAGUGGGGAAUAUUGCACAAUGGGCGAAAGCCUGACGCAGCAACGCCGCGUGAGCGAUGAAGGCCUUCGGGUCGUAAAGCUCUGUCCUCAAGGAAGAUAAUGACGGUACUUGAGGAGGAAGCCCCGGCUAACUACGUG
rnacentral:rRNA from 1 species